rnacentral:rRNA from 1 species
CCUACGAGUGGCUGCAGUGAGGAAUAUUGGUCAAUGGACGAGAGUCUGAACCAGCCAAGUAGCGUGAAGGAUGACUGCCCGAUGGGUUGUAAACUUCUUUUAUAUGGGAAUAAAAUGUACCACGUGUGGGAUGUUGUAUGUACCAUAUGAAUAAGGAUCGGCUAACUCCGUGCCAGCAGCCGCGGUAAUACGGAGGAUCCGAGCGUUAUCCGGAUUGAUUGGGGUUAAAGGGAGCGUAGGUGGGUUGUUAAGUCAGUUGUGAAAGUUUGCGGCUCCACCGUAAAAUUGCAGUUGAAACUGGCAGUCUUGCGUCCAGUAGAGGUGGGCGGAAUUCGUGUUGUAGCG